CCCAGCUGCCAGGUACAGGAUGGAAAUGCUCUCCUUGGCUUCAGCAUUGCCAGAGUUGGGUGGGAAUGAUUCAGGCUGCCUGUGUGGGCUGCCUGCUCCCAAACCAGCACUUGGCUGGAGCUGCUCCCUGCUUUUCAUCUGUGCUGGGAAUGAGAUGGACACGAUCUGGGCCCCAUUAGUUGGUUCUGUGCACAUUAUUAAGUCAGGCUGACACUAAUAAGUGCCUUAAAUACCUUCUGAUUCUCCCUCCUCUUGCUGAGCAGAGCCAGUUGGGAGUGAAUUCCACCCUGAAAGCCACGAUCUUGGGCUGAGAUGAGCUUUAGGCUGAAGAUCCCUGUUAGUAAUCCCUGAAUUGAGAGUUUUGGAAAUGCAAAAAUAGCAUUUAUGUAGCUGAUACAGUAUUGCUGAUGGUUCCCAGAGCUCUGGAUCCCAGCAGGGGGGGACAGGAGGAGCAGGUGAGGUAAAAUCAAAGCCAUUUGGAGUCAGAGGCAAGGUGAGCAUCGUUCACCCCUCAGCUCUGCCUUGUGUGCAGGUUUUCAGUGACACAUUCCCAGUGUCCUUUGGUGGAACAGACACCCCUGGAGGAGCAGAGUUGGCCAAAGAAAAGUCUCUGGAGCGAGGGAUUCACACUGCCCAACAUCCCAGUGACCCUUGGCUGUCGUUUCUCACAUGAAUCCGUUUGGAUGGCUCUGAUCCCACCAGCAGCUCCACAGGGACCUGGGAAUCCUCCAGGGAAGGGGCCAGGACAAGGAGGGGGCUCCUGGACUGCAAAUAAAUCCUGAGUGGGAAUGAAUGAAGCUGAAGAGGGCAGAAUUUCUGUGGGCAGGGGGACAGUCAGGAGCAGGGCAGGGCCUGUCCCCUGUGCUGGCUCUGCUGAGGGACCUCGAGGGUGCCCAGUUCUGCAUCCUCAGUGAGGAGGGACCUGGAGGGGCUGGAGCCAGGGAACGGGGCUGGGAAGGGGCUCAGCCUGGAGAAAAGGAGCUCAGGGGGGCUCUGCACAACUCCCUGGGCACUUCCAGUGCCUGAGCUCCCUUUCCAUGGGGAAAUUCCUGCUGCUGUCCACCCUGAGCCUCCCCUGGCCCAGCCUGAGGCCAUUCCCUCUCCUCCUGUCCCUGUUCCCUGCGAGCAGAGCCCAGAUCCCACCUGGCUGUCCCCUCCUGGCAGUGUUCCAGCUCCUGGAGCUCCCAUGGGGAGGUGGAACCUGCUCCCAGACUGGGAUUUGGGUGCAAACAGCACCAGAAACGAGCCCAAGCUGGAGUUCACUGCCAUGUCCGGAGAGUUUUUAUUUUCAGGAGCAGCCACUGCACCACACAUCACUGAGCACAGGCCAGGGCUGGCACCACCAGCCAAGAUGGGAAAAAGCUGAACUGGGAGGCCACGGGAACCCAGAUGGGACCUUCCCAUCUUUUCCAGGGAAAUUGUGCCGCUGUUGAUGGCCCAGUGGCGUUGCUGGGCUGGCAGGAGCUCUGCUGGGAUUAUUGUUGGAUUAACAGGAGCUGCCAGGUGGCUCCUGCCAGGUUUGCUGAGCCAGGGAGGGAUGAGAGGUGACACAGGACACGGACAUUUCAUGUUUGGAAUUUCAUCCAGAUGGAAGAGGAGCCUUUUCCCAGUGAGAGCUGUUGACCAUUUUGGCUGGUGAGCCACUGCUCCUGUUGACAGAGCCUUGGGAAUGUUGUCCCUGGGGAAACUGGGAGUUUGUUUUAAAUUCAAGAGAACUUUUCCUAAUGCACAUAAAAAUAAAGGAGAAAACAAUGCCUGAAGGACAAAGCAGAACCAAAGAACCUUUCCCUGUGGUUUCCCCGUGCUGCUGGUUCCAUCUCACUCCAGGAAAUUUCACACCAAGAUUUUGUUGCCCUUCAAUGGGGACAGAGAAAAGGGGUUUUUUUAGGAUUUCUUUAAGAAAUUUGAGGCUUGAGGUGGAGCUGAGCCAAGCUGUUCUGCAGCCUCGUGUGCCCAAACCCCAACAAAACCCCUGUGGGCACUUCCACAGAGCCAGAGGAUCAACAGCACUCAAGCAGCCCUGGGUGGAUUUUUUCCAAACUUUCAAUAAUGGAUUUUUUUUUCACUCACCGUUCUGGUAUCAAGAGUGAAGUUAAAUGAAUUUUUUUUGGAAAUAAAAGCUGUUAAAAACAGGACAUUGCCAACCAGGUCCCAGUGAUGAACCAGGAGCACCUUCCACCACAAACACCAAUAAUUUGUGUCUUUCCAGCAGCCAGCAAUUUUCUACCUCAGCCUUCCAACCGAGGCUGUUUCUGCCCAGUGUCCUUCUGAAUCCUAAAGGAAAAGGAUGUGAAGCUUCAGCAGUGACUUUGCUGUGGAAGAAGUAUUUAAAGAAGUCAGACACCAUGGCCAGGAAUCCACUUGUUCUCAUGCACAAAAUUUCUCCAACUGAGCAAUAUUUUUGUUUGUUCCGAGCAGGAUUUGUCUGUUUACAGUAAAUACCUGUCACAUAGCAACAGAAAUAUUACUAAAUAAUAAUACAUAGAAUGUUAAGCUCCUUGGGCUAGAAGCUUUUAAUGAAAAAAACCACAUGUUCCUGAUAAAAAAUAAUAAAUAAUGUCAGCUUUUCUUUGUACAUUAAAAAUAUCUGUACAUGGUUACACGAUAUGACAAAGUACAAUUUUAUUUCCUAGGCUCAGGGUGGCAUCUCUGGGGUAGAUCUUCACUUAAAAAGGGUCGAGGCUCAUGGUCUUGAUCCUGCAUGAAAAUCCUUUUCCCAAAUUUGGGGAGUUUAGAGCCUUGCCCACCCUUUCCAUGCAAAGGGAGAAGCAGCUCACGAGGAACGUGGCAACAUCGACAUGCAGAGAGCAGCUGAGGACCGAGAUCUUUGCACAUGGUGAGACUGGAAAAGUCUGGAAAACUUCUUGCCUCAACUGGAAGAGACCAGCAACAAAUAGAAAAAUAAAGGUGGCAAAGGUGUUGGUACCUGUGGGGAGCGAGUUCCACAGAAAAGGCUCAUCCACACCCAAAAUUCAGCUGCUUCCCCUGCAGGAACACAGCUGGUGUGCCUCAGCUCCCACCCCAUGGAUCUGCCCAGGAUUUAUCCUAAAAUGCAAGGAGGAAACAGCACCAGGACCCUCCCUGUGUGGGCUGAAGGCUUCAGGAGAAAGCAGCCAGUUGCUGAAGCCCAACUUCAAGUGAAACACUUUAAAACCCUUUUCUUCCUUCAUCUACAACCAGAAACUCCCCCCAGGAACCAGCCACCAUCCCACCUGGAAUAGAUACCCAAGGAAAAGGCGAGCAGCCUCAAACCCCCAGGAACAAACCCCUGGAAGUGCAGGAUGGCUCUGGGGGGCACCAGGAAAGAUCCCAGGGAUGGAAUUCCAGCGGGGCAGGAAUAAAACCUGAGUGAGAUCUCCAGGACAUCAGGAAGGUCCCCUGAAUUGUCCCCCCAGAAAGGCACUGCUGAUAUUUUUGGGAAACUGGGAGAUGCUGGGAAACAGAGAAGAGUCUCAGAGACAACUGAGAAGAGUGUGACACAAAAUCCAAGAAUCUCUGGAAUUCCCUAUUUUAAUCUCUGAUGAUUUUCCACUUUGAAAGAGCAAAAUCCUCCAAUCUGAACCCCACCAAACGUGAGAAUGAACAAAAUGCAUUGUUCCAUUUCCAUUUCUGCUGAAGAAAUGAAUGCACAGAGGCCAAAUCAAAUGGAAUUUCACAAAGCAUUUGCUUUUAAUGCAGCUGCAGAUGAAACUUCCAGAAAUGAGAGCAGAAUUAUCCCUCUCUCAGCACUCCCAGGUUCACAGACUCCUGAAAAUUAAAAUCUUCCCAGUACCUCUGUAACCUCUGGGCUGAAUUUGUCCUGUUCCCAUCACUGCAGUGAAGUUCUGCACUUGGCCAUCAGCAUCAAAUCAUUAGAGCAGGGAUGUUUUGCUCAACUUCAGCUAAAAACCCUUGGAAUUUGGGCAUUAUGAACGCGAUUUGGUGAUGGAAAUCAACAGAUCCACACAGCAACCAAGAGGGUGGGGAUGGCCCAGAGCUGCUGAGUUCUUCUCCUGUGGAUUUGUGACAUUUUAAUGUUGCAGAAGUCGAUAUUUCCACAACAGAAACAGCAAUUUGGGCAUCAAAAAAUCUCAAACUCAAAGAGGAGCUCUUUGUUUGCAAGUAAAACCAGCUCUCAGCAGCUCCUUCUGAGAUCAUUUCUUAGAGAAAUUCUCUGGAGAUUGGGAUGUGAAGAGUUCCUCUGAUCAAUGAAUUGAUUUGGAGCACAGGUAAGCAAGGCCAUCAAAACACCUGUGUGUGUGCAAACCCUUGAUUUCCAUUUCCCUGCUGCUAACACCAGGUUAUUUCUGUUGUUUUGUGCUUUCAAGAGCACAAAAAUCUGGUCUUUCUGCAGACCUGAGUGUCCUUCAGGGCCACCUGUGAGACCCUACCUGUCCAUUACUUUACACAUUGCCAUCAAAUUUGCUGUGCAGAGCAAAGAAAUAAGCUCAAACUCCUGAAGGUUGUGGCAUCCCUUGGUUACCCCUGGGCCUGUCUAUUUUCUGCUCCAGAGGAGAUGACACAGUCCAUAAAUCUCUGCCCUAGUCCCUGCUUUGGUAAAUAAAAUCUGCUCAGAUUUAUGUUUCUUCCUUCCUGAGGAAAAGCAAAGCAGUGAUACAUGUGGCAAAUGGAACAGAAAAUUGCUUUUCACCCAUCAAGUUCCCAGUGUAACUGGCUGGAGUUUGGGC